rnacentral:misc_RNA from 1 species
GGAAAAAGAAAAAAAGGCUGCUGCUGCUGCAGCAGCUGCUGAAGGGAAUGAUGAAAAAAUUGAGGAGGUAAAGACUGAAAUUAUAGAACCCAAAAAAGGUGCUGCAAAGAGUAAAGUGCCGGAGAAGAAAGUGCCAAAGCAUGUUAGGGAGAUGCAGGAAGCAAUGGCUAGAAGAAAAGAAGAAGAAGAGCGAAGGAAAAGGGAGGAGGAAGAGAGAUUGAGAAAGGAAGAAGAAGAGAGACGUAGGCUAGAAGAACUCGAAAGGCAAGCUGAGGAGGCUAAGCGUAGGAAAAAGGAAAGAGAAAAAGAGAAGCUUUUAAGGAAGAAACAGGAAGGCAAGCUAUUAACAGGUAAACAAAAGGAAGAACAACGGAGGUUGGAGGCAAUGAGGAACCAGAUUUUAUCAAAUGCCGGAGGUUUACCUCUGUCUACAUCUGACCCUAGUGCACCAUCUAAACGACCAAAAUACCAGACAAAGAAGACAAAACCAGCCCAUCAUCAAACAAAUGGAAAUGCACAAACGAAGGGAGUGGAGCAUACAGAAGAAAAAAUACAAGAAAAAGAUGUGGCAGAGACAGAAAUAUUGGAGUCACAGAAGAUUGCAGCUGUUGAGUUGAUGCAUGUGGAGGAAAAAGCAGAUGUUGUUGAGGC